rnacentral:rRNA from 1 species
UGGGGAAUAUUGCACAAUGGGCGCAAGCCUGAUGCAGCCAUGCCGCGUGUAUGAAGAAGGCCUUCGGGUUGUAAAGUACUUUCAGCGGGGAGGAAGGUGUUGAGGUUAAUAACCUCAGCAAUUGACGUUACCCGCAGAAGAAGCACCGGCUAACUCCGUGCCAGCAGCCGCGGUAAUACGGAGGGUGCAAGCGUUAAUCGGCAUUACUGGGCGUAAAGCGCACGCAGGCGGUCUGUCAAGUCGGAUGUGAAAUCCCCGGGCUCAACCUGGGAACUGCAUUCGAAACUGGCAGGCUAGAGUCUUGUAGAGGGGGGUAGAAUUCCAGGUGUAGCGGUGAAAUGCGUAGAGAUCUGGAGGAAUACCGGUGGCGAAGGCGGCCCCCUGGACAAAGACUGACGCUCAGGUGCGAAAGCGUGGGGAGCAAACA